GUUGUGGCUCAGUGGUAGAGCACUUGCCUAGCACGUGUGAGGCACUGGGUUUGAUCCUCAGCACCACA
rnacentral:tRNA from 1 species